rnacentral:rRNA from 1 species
CCUACGGGAGGCAGCAGUGGGGAAUCUUGCGCAAUGGGGGCAACCCUGACGCAGCCAUGCCGCGUGAAUGAUGAAGGCCUUAGGGUUGUAAAGUUCUUUUGCCCGUGACGAUGAUGACGGUAACGGGAGAAUAAGCUCCGGCUAACUUCGUGCCAGCAGCCGCGGUAAUACGAAGGGGGCUAGCGUUGUUCGGAAUUACUGGGCGUAAAGCGCGCGCAGGCGGUUCGAUAAGUUAGGGGUGAAAUCCCUGGGCUCAACCCAGGAAUGGCCUUUAAGACUGUCGAGCUAGAGGACGAGAGAGGUGAGUGGAAUUCCCAGUGUAGAGGUGAAAUUCGUAGAUAUUGGGAAGAACACCGGUGGCGAAGGCGGCUCACUGGCUCGUUUCUGACGCUGAGGCGCGAAAGCGUGGGGAGCAAACAGGAUUAGAUACCCUGGUAGUCCACGCCCUAAACGAUGAGUGCCAGGUGUCGGGAAGCUUAGCUUCUCGGCGCCGCAGCUAACGCCUUAAGCACUCCGCCUGGGGAGUACGGCCGCAGGUUAAAACCUUAAAUGAAUUGACGG